CCGCAAGCUUCAUUCAGGUGUAAGAGUCUCUAUCAGCAAGAUGCUGCUGCAGGGUGACGGCUCAAAUUGGAAACGGAUGCUGGAGCAGAGAAAUUAUAGACAAGAUUCACUCAGUGCAAAUAUGUUUUGCAUUAUGACCAUCUUCGCACAUCUUAUGUUGUGACCGAGGACAACCUGACUCAAAACUACAACCCAGAUGUCCUUAAUGUAGCAAACUAUGCCAUGGACUUCCAUAAUCGCAUGAGCAACUACCCCUAUGCCUGCCUAGUGGAUAGCUUUUCAGACACAGCACAGCCUACAUAUUAGAGAUGCAAGCUGCCCAGACGAUCUGCAAGAAUGAAGUGAAUGUGAACCUGACAGAAUGUCAUUUGCAGACUAAUGCAGAGACCAUGAUCUCUACCUUUGUUUGUUUGCCGUGCCUGGAAAUAACAGUAUCCCCAAACGCCUGCUCUCUGAUCAUUGUGCCUGAUUGGUGAUUGAUUGAAGAAUUAUGAUACAGCUGCUUUCCAAUAUUAUAAAUGGUUUAUGUAUUUUUGCAAUGUUUAUCAUAUUAAGUUUGCUUCGGAAACAUUAGAAACUAACAUAACAGCCUGCAUGUCUAAAUGAUCAUGUAACAUGUGGUGUCACAAUAUUCCAAAAAUAAAAGAAA